AUGGAAAGAACUUUGAAAAGAGAGUGAAAAGCGCUUGAAACCGUCACGGGGGAAGCGGAUUGCGUGAGUGAUGGUGUGCAUUGUUCAGCUCGAGUGUAUUCUGUGCACACCGGGCGUGUGUGGCUGGGGUGCGUGCGUGGCACGCGCUCCUGGUGAGGGCUCCCUGCUUGUCGGGUGAGGACACACGCGAAAUGACGCAAUACGACCCGUCUUGAAACACGGACCAAGGAGUCUAGCACGGCUGCGAGUCGAAGGGUGUGAAAACCCAGAGGGCGCAGUGAAAGCGAAAGAAAGCAAAUUGGGGAGGCGUUGCGGUUUUACCAAAAUGUCCUACCUCGAGCACCUGUGCUGGGACCCGAAAGAUGGUGAACUAUGCCGGAGUAGGGCAAAGCCAGAGGAAACUCUGGUGGAGGCUCGUAGCGAUGCUGACGUGCAAAUCGCUCGUCGAACUUGGGUAUAGGGGCGAAAGACUAAUCGAACCAUCUAGUAGCUGGUUCCCUCCGAAGUUUCUCUCAGGAUAGCGGGCCGACGAUAUGUUGUUUUGUGC
rnacentral:rRNA from 1 species